ACCCAGCAUGGAUCUGUGAUCCAGGCCAAUCAAUCAGACUCCCUGAUGGAUUUUUUUAUUUUUUUCAGUAAAUUAUGGGAUAACCUGGAGACUUGAAAUGGCACCAACUUUCCUAUCUGUGAAGAGACACUUUAGGAAGAAUAAAGCUUCAGGAGGAGAAAAGACAAAGGUUGCCCUCCAAAGUGCAUAG
rnacentral:lncRNA from 1 species